GUCCCCAUGGCCUAACGGAUAAGGCAUCUGCCCCCGGAGCAGGGUAUCCGCGUUCGAAUCGCGGUGGGGAUA